rnacentral:rRNA from 1 species
AGUGAACGCUGGCGGUAGGCCUAACACAUGCAAGUCGAACGGCAGCACAGUAAGAGCUUGCUCUUACGGGUGGCGAGUGGCGGACGGGUGAGGAAUACAUCGGAAUCUACUUUUUCGUGGGGGAGAACGUAGGGAAACUUACGCUAAUACCGCAUACGACCUACGGGUGAAAGCAGCGGAUCUUCGGACCUUGCGCGAUUGAAUGAGCCGAUGUCGGAUUAGGUAGUUGGGGGGGUAAAGGCCCACCAAGGCGUCGAUCCGCAGCUGGGCUGAGAGGAUGAUCAGCCACACUGGAACUUAGACACGGUCCAGGCUCCUACGGGAGGGAGCAGUGGGGAAUAUUGGACAAUGGGCGCAAGCCUGAUCCAGCCAUACCGCGGGGGUGAAGAAGGCCUUCGGGUUGUAAAGCCCUUUUGUUGGGAAAGAAAAGCAGCAGGUUAAUACCCCGCUGUUCUGACGGUACCCAAAGAAUAAGCACCGGCUAACUUCGUG